rnacentral:rRNA from 1 species
GACGAACGCUGGCGGCGUGCCUAAUACAUGCAAGUAGAACGCUGAAGGAGGAGCUUGCUUCUCUGGAUGAGUUGUGAACGGGUGAGUAACGCGUAGGUAACCUGCCUGGUAGCGGGGGAUAACUAUUGGAAACGAUAGCUAAUACCGUAUAAUAGUAGAUGUUGCAUGACAUUUGCUUAAAAGGUGCAAUUGCAUCACUACCAGAUGGACCUGCGUUGUAUUAGCUAGUUGGUGGGGUAACGGCUCACCAAGGCGACGAUACAUAGCCGACCUGAGAGGGUGGGCAGCCACACUGGGACUGGGACACGGCCCAGGCUCCUACGGGAGGCCACCGUAGGGAAACUUCGGCCAUGGGCGGAAGUCUGACCGAGCAACGCCGCGUGAGUGAAGAAGGUUUUCGGGUCGUAAAGCUCUGUUGUAAGGGAAGAACGAGUGUGAGAGUGGAAAGUUCACGCUGUGACGGUAUCUUACCAGAAAGGGACGGCUAACUACGUG